CUUUCCCCCUACCGUUUGUGAUUGUUGGCGCGGCAGUGAGCUGUGGACUUCUGUAAGGAAAAAGUCAGAGCCCGGCCUCGGGGGAGAGCUCUGCAGACUCGGACCAGCACCACCGGGUAACUGGGUUCCGGGAAGAGAAUCACUCUGAAUUUUCUAGAGUUUGAACCCUUCAGAUAGAAGAAGCCCAAGGAAGACUGAUCGGUUCUUACAUUUCUGAUAACAUGGCCCAAUUUCAGGAGUCAGUGACAUUCAGGGAUGUGGCCAUAGCCUUCGCUCAGCAGGAGUGGGAGAGUCUGGAUUCUGCUCAGAGGGUCUUGGACAGAGAUGUGAUGUUGGAGAACUAUAGGAACUUGGUCUCCCUGGGUCAUUCCUGUUCUAAACCACAUGUGAUUACCUUAUUGGAACAAUGGAAAGAGCCCUGGAUGAUAGUGAAGAAAGAUCAAGGAAGACAAUACACAGUGCAUUCUCUUGCUCCUGGACCACUUGCUUUAUUUGAGAGUAUCCAUCAUGAUCAUUCCUAUGGAGACCCACGUGGCAAGGAACUGAAGCUUCCUGUCAACAGAAAAGACCUUGGAAUUGAAUCUUGCAGCCUCAGGCAAGUCUUCAGAGACUACAACCCCAGUAGACAGCUUGCCUGCAGUUUCAUAGCAGAUAUUGAACUCUAACUGCUCCCAGAUUAAUGUAAUUUUUCUGAAAAAAAUGUAAACAAAUAUGUAGUGACAGACAGCAGAUCAGUGGUUUCCUGCAGAUGGAUGAGUACAGAGGGAGAGAUUACAAAGGGCCCAAGAAAAACCUUUAAUUUCAUAGGUAUAAACAUGUAUCAAAUUGUACAUGUUAAAUAUGUGUAGUUUAGACUUGAGUAAGGCUGGGUUUUUUUAAGCUAAGAGAUACUCAAAACUCAUCAUUCAUUAUUUUACUACGUUUUACUAUUAUCUAUGCUUUAAGGUUAUUUAUAUUUAAUGUAUCCAUGUAUGGUAGAAACAGAAUAUGAUGGUGUGCUACUACACAUCUUGCCCUAAUUUCACAUUCACAGACAUCAUGUUGUAGCUUGAAAUUGACUGUGUGGUAAACACUACAACUCAGAGCUUGAUUUAUUGUUUCAUGUGAAGUUUUCAGAAAGUAGAGAGUAUGUUAAUAAUUCAGAUUAAACUUAAGGGUGUAUUGUGUCUGUCAUUUUCCAUUGGGAACAGCACAGAAUUGCAAGGAAAUAUUCUUUCAGUACUCAAAAAAUUUUACCCAAAAAAAAAAAAAAAAAAU